AAAAAAAUGUAGAAAAUAAAAAAAAAAAAAAAAAAUUCAUAUCCGGAACGUACAACGACACCCUUGAUGCAAAACAUGUUUGCGCGCCUGACGAUGUUAAGACACACGACACACACUUCCCUUGAGAAAAGAUGAUAGCCUUCACGAGUGUCUUACUAUUUCUUUGCAGAGCCCCUCUUCUUGAUGACGACGCGUACACUGUCAGCUACACUUUGCAGUGUGUUACUUAAAUUUUUCUCUAUCUUUGUAUCUCUCCAUUUCAGAUAAAUUGUUAUCUUUCCAAGGGUUGAGAAGAACAUGGUCGUGGUUCAAGUGAAGCCACUACAGCCACUCCCUGACAAGCCUUCCACACCGACAGACAGUGACAGCAGACACACAAGAGACGAUGGUGUGGUGGACAAGAGGAUGCAGGGAGACAGCAGACAGAAUGGAAGCUACAGAUGAAAGAAGAGCAGGUCAAGCCAUGGCAGCAGACACAUAGACAGACAGAUUGGAUAAGAAAGAAGUAUUAUUUAGUGAGACAGGACCACUGGAAGCUGUCAGAGUGCUGUGGCACGUGGCAAGAACCAAGUGUUCAGGAGCACACACUGUCCCUUCACCAGUCAGCAGGUCUGGGCGGCUUGGAAGCCUCACUACAAACUGAAGACCCGUUCACUUGAAGGACACAGUUGGAGUUAUUUUUAAACGAGAGCUUCAGGCAGAAAAUUCGAGUGGAUUUUCAACUCUAAAAAUAACUUUUUUGGGGGGAUAUUUUGAACCUUCUUUAUCUUGAAAAAUAACUCCAGAUAUUAUGACUCUAGCUGGAAGUUGACCUGAGCAAUGUAGGGUUUGCUGCAGUGAGAUUACCAAGGCACGAGUGUCUGGGAUUUAAAGAUGAUGGAUAGGUGUCCUGUGUGCUGCUGUGCUGGGAGGAGAGGAGCAGCAGCAGUCGUGGGGCUCUGUUGCUGCUGUCACUGGUGCAGCUGUUCACUCCUGCAGCUACCUUCCCUCAACAUACUGUGUCUUCCCUCACCUGCAAUGAACAACUAUGAACAAUACUUCUCCUGCGAUGAGGAACAGUGAAUAACACCUCUCUCUCUCUCUCUCUCUCUCUCUCUCUCUCUCUCUCUCUCUCUCUCUCUCUCUCUCUCUCUCUCUCUCUCUCUCUCUCUCUCUCUCUCUCUCUCUCUCUCUCUCUCUCUCUCUCUCUCUCUCUCUCCACAGUAUGUCCCCCACAGUAUGUUUACAAACCCACAGUGACUCUCCACAGCCCCUCACCAACAAUUGUCUCCUUCACACACACACACACAAAUGUUAGAAUCUUGUAGUGUCUACAACAAGGAAUGGAACCGAAAUCGACAAGCCAAAUUUUCUUCCAGCCUGCGUGAGUGUAGUGAGGCUCAAUGUGUGUGUACAAGUGAAGAAUAUAUAUUAGAUGCUUGACUCAAAAAUAUGAGGCUUACACAAAAAUACAGGACACAACUUGAGUGUGGUGAGUCAAAGGUGAGUCAAAAUGCUCAACUUUGAAUUAACUUACAACAAAAACUAACUAAAUAAAACACACUAUAAAGAAAUAAUCUCAUCAAUUAACACUGAAAAAAAAAUAUAUAUACACCAACACAAAAUAAAUAAAUAAAUAAAUAAAUGAAGACUAAAUCAAGCAAAUUAAUCUGAACGCUAACACACAAACCAACAUAGUCGUAUAUUUUUUAACACUACGGUGAAGAAAGAUAAUGAAGCUUUAACAUUGAGUGAAAGAGAGAGAGAGAAAUUUGUGGUCUUCCUAAAUUCUCUCUCUCUCUCUCUCUCUCUCUCUCUCUCUCUCUCUCUCUCUCUCUCUCUCUCUCUCUCUCU